rnacentral:misc_RNA from 1 species
AACGCACAUUGCGCCCGUCAGUAUUCUGGCGGGCAUGCCUGUUCGAGCGUCAUUUCAACCCUCAAGCUCUGCUUGGUGUUGGGGCUCUACCCGUAACUGAGUAGUCCCCGAAAACGAGUGGCGGACCCGCUGAAGCCUCUUUGCGUAGUAGUUUUCUAUCCUCGCAUCGGUGCCCGGUGGGACUCUUGCCGUAAAACCCCCAACUCAACUGGUUGACCUCGAAUCAGGUAGGAAUACCCGCUGAACUUAA